CCUCGGGAGGCAGCAGUAGGGAAUAUUGCUCAAUGGGGGAAACCCUGAAGCAGCAACGCCGCGUGGGUGAAGGAGUACUUCGGUACGUAAAGCCCUAUCAGCAGGAAAGAAAAUGACGGUACCUGACUAAGAAGCCCCGGCUAACUACGUGCCAGCAGCCGCGGUAAUACGAAGGGGGCAAGCGUUAUCCGGAUUUACUGGGUGUAAAGGGAGCGUAGACGGCAGUGCAAGUCCG
rnacentral:rRNA from 1 species